CGGGGGGCAGCAGUAAGGAAUAUUGGUCAAUGGACGCAAGUCUGAACCAGCCAUGCCGCGUGAAGGAUGACGGCCCUCUGGGUUGUAAACUUCUUUUAUCUGGGACGAAAAACGGGCUUUCUAGCUCACUUGACGGUACCAGAGGAAUAAGCACCGGCUAACUCCGUGCCAGCAGCCGCGGUAAUACGGAGGGUGCAAGCGUUAUCCGGAUUUACUGGGUUUAAAGGGUGCGUAGGUGGGUAGGUAAGUCAGUGGUGAAAUCUUCAAGCUUAACUUGGAAACUGCCAUUGAUACUAUUUAUCUUGAAUAUCCCGGAGGUAAGCGGAAUAUGUCAUGUAGCGGUGAAAUGCUUAGAUAUGACAUAGAACACCCAUUGCGAAGGCAGCUUACUACAGGAUUAUUGACACUGAGGCACGAAAGCGUGGGGAUCAAACAGGAUUAGAUACCCGCGU
rnacentral:rRNA from 1 species